rnacentral:rRNA from 1 species
GCAAGUCGAGGGGUAACAUUUGUUCUUUCAUCAGAUGACGACCGGCGAACGGGUGCGUAACGCGUAUAGAAUCUGACUUGUACAGGAGGAUAGCCUUUAGAAAUGAAGAUUAAUACUCCAUAAUAUUGGGAAGUGGCAUCACUAUCUAAUUAAACAUUUAUGGGUACAAGAUGACUAUGCGUCCUAUUAGCUAGAUGGUAAGGUAACGGCUUACCAUGGCAACGAUAGGUAGGGGGUCUGAGAGGAUGAUC